rnacentral:piRNA from 1 species
GACCCUGCUGACAACAGAGCUGAAGGAUG